rnacentral:rRNA from 1 species
AUUGAACGCUGGCGGCAGGCUUAACACAUGCAAGUCGAGCGGGGGAAGGUAGAUUGCUACCGGACCUAGCGGCGGACGGGUGAGUAAUGCUUAGGAAUCUGCCUAUUAGUGGGGGACAACAUCUCGAAAGGGAUGCUAAUACCGCAUACGUCCUACGGGAGAAAGCAGGGGAUCUUUGGACCUUGCGCUAAUAGAUGAGCCUAAGUCGGAUUAGCUAGUUGGUGGGGUAAAGGCCUACCACGGCGACGAUCUGUAGCGGGUCUGAGAGGAUGAUCCGCCACACUGGGACUGAGACACGGCCCAGACUCCUACGGGGGGCAGCAGUGGGGAAUAUUGGACAAUGGGGGGAACCCUGAUCCAGCCAUGCCGCGUGUGUGAAGAAGGCCUUAUGGUUGUAAAGCACUUUAAGCGAGGAGGAGGCUACUUUAGUUAAUACCUAGAGAUAGUGGACGUUACUCGCAGAAUAAGCACCGGCUAACUCUGUGCCAGCCGCCGCCGUAA